AUAUUGGUCAAUGGGGGAAACCCUGAACCAGCAACGCCGCGUGAGGGAAGACGGUUUUCGGAUUGUAAACCUCUGUCCUCUUUGAAGAUAAUGACGGUAGCAGAGGAGGAAGCUCCGGCUAACUACGUGCCAGCAGCCGCGGUAAUACGUAGGGAGCGAGCGUUGUCCGGAUUUACUGGGUGUAAAGGGUGCGUAGGCGGCCCUGCAAGUCAGAAGUGAAAUCCAUGGGCUUAACCCGUGAACUGCUUUUGAAACUGCAGGACUUGAGUGGAGUAGAGGUAGGCGGAAUUCCCGGUGUAGCGGUGAAAUGCGUAGAGAUCGGGAGGAACACCAGUGGCGAAGGCGGCCUACUGGGCUUUAACUGACGCUGAAGCACGAAAGCGUGGGUAGCAAACAG
rnacentral:rRNA from 1 species